UGUCACCACCACUGGUAACAAGGACAUCAUCAUGGUUGAUCACAUGAGGAAGAUGAAGAACAAUGCCAUUGUUUGCAACAUUGGUCACUUUGAUAAUGAAAUUGAUAUGCAUGGACUUGAGACCUACCCUGGCGUGAAGCGCGUCACCAUCAAGCCCCAGACUGAUAGGUGGGUGUUCCCUGAGACCAAAACAGGCAUCAUUGUGUUGGCUGAGGGGCGUCUCAUGAAUUUGGGUUGUGCCACUGGUCACCCCAGCUUCGUGAUGUCAUGCUCUUUCACCAAUCAGGUGAUUGCACAGCUUGAGUUGUGGAGGGAGAAGGGAACUGGCAAAUAU
rnacentral:lncRNA from 1 species